GUUGAUUCUAGUGGGGUUUACACCAGUGGUAUAUCUGAGUGUUGAUUCUAGUGGGGUUUACACCAGUGGUAUAUCUGAGUGUUGAUUCUAGUGGGGUUAACACCAGUGGUAUAUCUGAGUGUUGAUUAAGAUGGCUUUAUAUGUAGUUAUAACCGCGAAAGGCUUUGCUAUACUAUUUUACCAUAUAUACCACCAUCCAAAGUGGAGAGCUCCAUGAUUGAAGCUCUGUAGGUUACAGUCGAGUAAUGGGAGGGGGAAUAGGUUAUAGUGGAGUAGACCCUAGUGGGAGGGGGAAUAGGUUAUAGUGGAGUAGACCCUAGUGGGAGGGGGAAUAGGUGAUAGUGGAGUAGACCCUAGUGGGAGGGGGAAUAGGUUAUAGUGGAGUAGACCCUAGUGGGAGGGGGAAUAGGUGAUAGUGGAGUAGACCCUAGUGGGAGGGAAUAGGUGAUAGUGGAGUAGACCCUAGUGGGAGGGGAAUAGGUUAUAGUGGAGUAGACCCUAGUGGGAGGGGAAUAGGUUACAGUGGAGUAGACCUAGUGGGAGGGGGAAUAGGUUAUAGUGGAGUAGACCCUAGUGGGAGGGGGAAUAGGUUACAGUGGAGUAGACCCUAGUGGGAGGGGGAAUAGGUUACAGUGGAGUAGACCCUAGUGGGAGGGGGAAUAGGUGAUAGUGGAGUAGACCCUAGUGGGAGGGGGAAUAGCUGAUGUGAUAAAGAAGCAAUCAUAUUCAUGUGUAAAAUCCUACCUGUGUGUGUACGUUCAUAUUCUGUUUCUGUUGGUUUAUAUAGUAGGCUACUUGUAUUCACAGUUGUACGUCUAAAUAAUUAUUUUGUCAUUAAAAAGAAAAUCUGUAAUUUUUGA